rnacentral:sRNA from 1 species
GUGGGUAGGAGGAGCACUAUGUCCACGAUCAUACAGCACUUCGCUCUUUUCGACUUGCUUAUCUUGGCCGGGAUUUCGUUUCUCUUGGUCUGCAGCUAUUUCGACGAGGGUGAAGCUUAAAUAUCAGGAGACAUUUGCCGCCUCCUGCUGACCGGAGCGCAUCCGGGCCGAUCGUUGGCAUUUCAAGCCGCGACGACCGCUGUUUUUGACGCUGUUACCCGGAGCGCGAACUCCUCGACGCCGUCAGGCUGCCACCGGUACUCCAUCGCUACUGGCAUCAGUUCCGGGUCGCUGCCGCC